rnacentral:rRNA from 1 species
UAUCGUUAGUUGCCAACACGUAAUGGUGGGAACUCUAGCGAGACUGCCGGUGAUAACCGGGAGGAAGGUGAGGAUGACGUCAAGUCNGCAUGGCCCUUAUGUCUGGGGCUACACACGUGCUACAAUGGUCGGUACAGAAGGCAGCGAAACCGUGAGGUGGAGNAAAUCCCACAAAGCCGGCCCCAGUUCAGAUUGUAGUCUGCAACUCGACUACAUGAAGAUGGAAUUGCUAGUAAUGGCGAGUCAGCUACAUCGCCGUGAAUACGUUC